CGCUCUUAAUUUCUUUUUUCCUUUUUAAAUCUUUUUCAUCUGAUCCCUUGUCUGAUACAACAACAACAACAACCCAAUAUAGUCCCACUUAGUGGGGUCUGGGGAGGGUAGUGUGUACACAGACCUUACCCCUACCUUGAGGUAGNNNNNNNNNNNNNNNNNNNNNNNNNNNNNNNNNNNNNNNNNNNNNNNNNNNNNNNNNNNNNNNNNNNNNNNNNNNNNNNNNNNNNNNNNNNNNNNNNNNNNNNNNNNNNNNNNNNNNNNNNNNNNNNNNNNNNNNNNNNNNNNNNNNNNNNNNNNNNNNNNNNNNNNNNNNNNNNNNNNNNNNNNNNNNNNNNNNNNNNNNNNNNNNNNNNNNNNNNNNNNNNNNNNNNNNNNNNNNNNNNNNNNNNNNNNNNNNNNNNNNNNNUUCCAAAAACUUCCCACCUUACUCUUGGGGAGACUCGAACUCACAACCUUUCGGUUGGAAGUGAGGGUUGCUUACCAUCAGAGCAACCCCUCUUGUCAUGAUCCCUUGUCUGAUAGGUAUGCUAAAUAUGAUAUCCUCUUCGUCACCUCUAAGCUAUCUAUUAUCUGAGUUGUAUAUUUUGACUAGAUAUACCUAAUAUUUAUGUUACAUGGCUAGUUUAUCCAUUUGAUACAGUGUGUAUAAAUCUGGUACGGGCAGUUUUGGGUGUAAUUGAAGAAACUGCAUAAAACACCCAUGUUUAUAUUAUUCCUGCUGGAGAUGGGUACGUCAAGCAAAACAAAGAUCCAUCUUCAGAAAAAGCUUUCUGCUUAUCAAAAUUUAUAAAAAAAAAAAAGGAAAAUGAAGAUCCAUGUAACAGAGUAUCUCUGUGUAUGUGUGUGUUGGGAAGGGGGAUGUGUAUGGAGGGUGUGUGUGUGUGUGUGGGUGUGGCUAGAAGGCAUGCAGAUCAGAUCAUUCAGGUCCCAUAAAGCUAAGAAUGAAGUCAAGGCUGAAUCUUGACUCUUAGCGCUGGAUGUUGUCAAACACGUUUAUCAGGUCAUUUAUUCAAAUUGGACUCGAAUAGCUUGCAGCGUCCUGCCAGUUUAGCACGAUUAUUGUUAUAAAUCUAUAUUUUACUAGCCUGCAUAUCUUGUUCCUUUAAAAGGUGGCAAUUUAUAUGGAUACACCUAAUAUAUGCAGCAGUUUUUUCUCCCUUUUGUGCUUCUUAAUUUACCAUGCUUUUAUCAGCAUAGGCCCUUUCUCUGAUGGGAUACUCCUUGUUCUCUCCUAUUGAUGCAUAAUGGCUGCUCCAUAUAGCAGUUUUUAGCUGCUUUGAGUAGUAAUAGGUGUGAACUGGUCAAGGAAACACUUGGUGAUUUUAUUCCAUCUCUUAAUUUCUCCUAUGGAAUGCCAUCCAUUCUUUAAGCUAAACAAAGAUACCUUUCACUUCAGCUGUCUUUUAUUCUAGUAGACUUCUCUAUCCAAUUAUUAAUAAUUAGUCAUUUUAUUGGAGCUAUCUGAUAGUACUUCUGCUCCUUCACAUUAUUUACUCUGCUGGAAAAUUUUGUUUGUUCAGAACUUGAAUUCCCUUUCUCAUUAGAAAAAAAAAACCUUGAAGCUCCGCUUAUACUAGCUGUAGAGGGCUUGUAGACAUUGAAAUUUUUAAAUCACCCGUGUUUUGACAAAUACAUUUAAUCAGUAACUUGUCUAAUGCUCCUUUUACUUUGCUUGUCUUAAUUGCUUUUCUUUACCUUUAAGCGCCGCUUAUACUAGCUGUCAAAGUUAAGUUGCUAAGAGCUAGAAACAUAGGCAAGCUUUUGAGUUCCAUGUCAAUACUCAUUUUCAUAUUCUUUUAGGAGCCUGCUGAAAACAAUUGCGUGUAUAGAAAUGAGAUACAUCAUUCUGCUGCAGAACGCACACAAGUGUUGCAGGAUGUAGCAGCAGAUCCAACUUUGCCUCGUACAAAAUCUGUUCGAUGUUCUCAAUGUGGUCAUGGAGAAGCAGUUUUCUUCCAGGUCAUUUUCUUUUGUCCUUGCUUUCUUUAGUAUUUAAGCCACCAAUAGUUGCUAUGACUGCUUUAACAUUUACAAAUAUGCCUGAAGUCUGGUUCCUGUGGCUGGUCAAUUUAAAGCUUAUUGUUUCGUCAUAUUUGCUUUUUGAUCUUAUGCGGAUUAGUUUUAUCUGAUCUAUGCUGAAGAUAAAUGGUUUUGGAUAUUCCCAGAAGGCCUGAUAUUGGCAAUCCAAAUCGUGACCUAUAUCCUGUUAUGUUUUGUUUGACAUGUCCGCUUUUGGAAUAUUUAAAAGAAAACAACCUGAUUGUGGUAGAAAAGCAACUUGUUGCCACAGAUAAGUUGACCUGCAAUUGGUGAAGCUUGGUCGAUAUAUGCCUCGUGAAAUUUCAUUGUCCUCACCUCUGGAAAAUUUACACUGUUCCCAAGCAAAACCGUCCAACUUUUCUGGUCCUAUAAAUCCUUCCUUCCUAAAAAGCUUGGAAAAUGUCUUGAAACUCAUUGGGUUAGGAUAUCUGUACUCCUUUUCUUGGAAUUUACAGUUCUGCUACCUGAAUAAUAUAGAAGGGAACAAUCUGAGUACCUUUUACUUUUAGCUUCUCAUACCUCAUUCGGUUGUCGUAUGUUAGGACUUAGGAGCUUCUGUUUGACUUAUUUAUUUGGAAGACAAAUGACGACUGAAGAUGAAGGCUCUAUCUUUUUCUGGAUCAAUCAAAUGAAGGCACUUAUCUUGAUAGAGAUUUUUGGUGCAAUGACCUUUAUUUGCUUGCUGUUAUGCAAUAUCUAUUUGCUGGAUAUUAUUUUACAGUUGUCUGAAACAAUUGCUAUAUGUGCAGGCAACUGCAAGGGGAGAAGAAGGUAUGACACUCUUCUUUGUUUGCUGCAACCCGAACUGCGGACACAGGUGGAGAGAUUGAGAUCACAUUCAGAGUUAUGGUGGGUGCAGUGUUAGUUAUUGACGUAUUUGAAAAAACUGAUUCUGACCUAAACUGCAAUUGUUCAUCAUCUAGUGUAUGUAACACAUGGUAUUACAUGAAUCUUGUCUUGUGUUGGAUUGGAACACAUGGUACUCAGAGAGAUUCUAAAGACUCGCAUGCUCCCUAAGUUUCUGUUAACCAAGCUCUUAUCGAGUUUUCUUAAAGAAGUGAAAAUUGCUGUUAUGCUGAAUAGCUGAACUGUGGAGUAAUACUAAUGUUUCUGGCUUUAGAACAUUAGCUUGGUGUUCCCAUUAUUUGAAGAAUUUUAGUUGCCCUGUUUCUUGUGUCUCAUUGAGGUUCAUUUUCCGACUUAAUUCAAAUAUCAUUCACUUUCUCUGCGGGCAUUCCUGGUGGUGGGAGGAGCUCUGUUAAUUAAUGUGUUCUUUUUUCAUCACUAGUCCUUUCUCCAGAUAUGUCUAUGCCAAAUGACUUUUGGCUGUGAUUGAAGGUCAGUGAAUGGGCAGUUGCAUAUUAUUGUGCUGACUUGUGAAAACAUACAAUAUUUGUUGAUCUGUAGCAUAUAGGAAAGGAAAGAAUGCGCCUCUGUAUAUAGAAUGGGUGCCAAAGAUAGCCUCAAGGUACAUUCUAAAAUGAAUUUUGAAAACUGAACUGAAACAUUUUAAACUGACAGUUAUCCUAAGUAAUAAAAUUGCUCGUUAGAAAAUUUUCCUUUUUACUGUUUGAAAACUUUCCAAUAACUUUUGCAGAAUAAUAUUUGUCCAAAUGUCAUAUAAUAACAAUAACACUCACUCCAUUCACUUUUACUUGGCAUGUAUAUUAAAAGUAAAUUUUUAUUUUUACUUGUCACUCUACGCAUAUCAAGAGGAGAUAAAUUUUAUUUUCCUGUUAUACCCACAUUAUUUAUUAUUCAUUUUAAAUCAUUUUCUCAAAUCCAAUAAAAUAUGCAUCAAUUUUUUUGGUAAUUAAUUGACUUUAUUUACCAAGUAAAAUAUAUACAUGCAAACAAUGGAACAAAAACUAACUCCUCCUACUUUUCUACUUUCCAGUCCUCUAUUGCUGUUCCAUUGGAUUCGGGUACCAGUUUACAUUGGUCAUAAUCCUUUCUAACCUAGGAAACAUGUUGGCUCUAAUAUGAAUUUCGUGAAUGAUCUAACUAUGCUUGCUGCUAUCUUUCUUUUCUAUUUAAAGAUGAUACUGUUUCUUUCUUGUCAUAUAUAGUUAACUGCAACAGCUAAAGUUAUUCUAUAUAAAGUUGCUCCUCCACUUCUUCCUUUUGCUACUCUUUCUAUCCAUGCCGGUUCUCCUUGCCAUUUCAGCUUCUUCCUCUGUGUUCCUUGCCAAUGUAGCAAUUGAUGCCAUAUUGUUCCUGUCAUUGCACAAUCAAAAAAUAAGUGUUGAAUUGUUUAGUCUCUUAUUGACAUAGUGCACAUGUGGUAUCUAUAUUUUGUUCCCCAUCUUGCUAAUCUUUCCUUUAUUGCCAGCCUUUCUAGAAUUGCAAUUCUCAAUAUGAAUAUAUAUUUUGGAAGUCCAUAAUUGUUGCAUAUUAAUUUCCUCCAAGUUACCUUCUGAAACUCCCCAUGCAUGGUUUUAUAUAUUUGUUUGAUUGAGAAAUUGUCCAUCCUCUGCACCUCUUCUUCAGUGUAACCAGCAUUCUCAAAGUAAUUCUUUGCCUUGAAAAUCUGUUGAAUGACCCAAGAUGCAUUCUUAGGUGUUGUACUCCAUACUAUAUUCCCCUUUAUAUAGUAAGCAUUAACCCAUUGUAUCCAUAACUUCUCCUUUUGCUUGCAUAUGUUCCAUAGUAACUUGCAAUAACAGCUUUGUUCCAUAGUUUCACAUUAGUAAAAUUCAAGCCACCUGCUACUCUUGGGCAACAUAGUUUUUCCUAAGCAAUCAGUGCCUUCCUAGUAGGCUCUACAUUCCCUGACCAUAGGCACCUUCCAGAUAUUAUAUCAAUGAACUGAAUAAUCGUCUUUUGCAAAAUAAAGAUCUGAGCCCAUAAAUUUUGAAUUGCAGUCAAAAUACUCUUUAUAAGCACAACUCUCCCUGCACAAGACAUAAAUUUUGAUGUCCAGUAUUGAGUUCUGUGCAGCAUCCUAUCAAUCAAAGGUUCACAUUGCAUAAUUGUUAUCUUUUUUGUGCUCAAAGGUACCCCCAAGUAUAUGAAGGGUAGCUCUCUCUUGUUGUAUCCCACCAUAUCCACAAUCUUCCUUUGAGUCACAAGAUCUACUCCUUCAAAGUAUAUGCAGCUCUUAUUUGGGUUUACAAUUAAUCCCGAUGCAUCAUAAAAUAUUUUAAAUAGUUGAUACAACUCUCUAAGUGAUUGUAUAUCACCCCUGCAAAAAAGUAGCAAAUCAUCAGCAAAGCCUAAUUGCACUAAAUUGACUUUAGUACACUUAUGGUGGUAUUUUGAAUUCUUUGUUCCUCUUUAAGGUUUUCAACAGCCCGCUCAAGUACUCCAUUGCCAUCACAAACAACACAUGAGACAGUAGGAUACCCUGUCUAAGCCCCUUCCCUUCCUUAAAUGGUUUUGCUGGUUGCCCAUUGAUACUUACUGUAUAAUUCACAGUACUUAUGCGUUUCAUUAUCCACCUUACAAACUUCUCAGGGAUUCCCAGUAACUUUAUCAUUUGUUCUAUGUAUAUUCAUUCCACAAAGUCAUAUGCUUUUUGCAUAUCAAUCUUUAGCAUACACCUUGGUGAUAUGUUCUUCCUUCCAUAACCUUUUUACCAACUCAUGGCUCAUGAUGAUGUUAUCAGUUAUCAUUCUUCCUGAAACAAAAUAUGUUUGGCAUUUGUCUAUUAAUUCUGGCAUGAUUUCAUGUAAUCUUGCUGUUAGAAUCUUGGAGAUUAUCUUAUAUAUUACUGUACAGUAAGAAAUAGAACUCCUUGAUAUUUGUUGGAUUCUUCACUUUAGGAAUCAAAGUAAUAGUAGUGCAGUUUAUGGCUUGCACAAAUCUAUACUUUCAAAGAACUCCAAUACUGUUGAUGUAAUAUACUCUCCUGUUAUGCUCCAUGUCCUCUUGAAAAAAUAGACAUUCUAUCCAUCACAGACUGGUGCCUUGCUAUCAUCUACACUCUGCAAAGCUGUUUGCACUUCUUCCUUUAUGAAUGACUUUAUUAGCAGUAUUUGUUGAUUCCUAUUCACUAUGCUUCCACUCUUUAUAACAUAUGGAUUCACUACUGGCAGAGCAGAGGCUGCUGUACCUGGUAGUGUUUUAUAAAACUGUAGAAUCUUCUCUUUAACCUCUUUUGUGUUCGCCUAUGUGAUUCCUUGCCUGUCUGUUUUUCACUUAAGCAUGAAAGUAUGUUGUGUUAGAGUCCCCCUCUUCUAACCAUUUUACUUUAGCCUUCUGUUUCAUUAUAUUUUCCUCUACUUCGAUCCAUUUAGCCAACUCCAUUUUAGUCUUCUUUUCUUCAUCUAUGACUGCACUAUCAUAUUCUGGAGAUUUCAUAUCCUGUUGAAGCUUCGUCAGUUUAUUUUUGGUUUCUUGUAUCUUAUUCCCCACACUACCGUAUUCUUGAGUGUUUAGCCUUUUUAGUUCACCUUUCAUUGCUGUAAGCUUCUACCAUACAUUUUGCAUCUUGUUUCCACUCUGUUUCUUCCUCCAGCAAUGACUUACUAUUUCCUCAAACUUCUGUUGAUUAACGAGGCAGUUAAAAAACUUGAAAGGUCUCUUACCCUGUACUAUAUUCUCAUCCAUAGUUAUCUUCAAGGGACAGUGAUUUGAAAACUCAGGUUGCAUAAUGAUCCCAUCCAUUUGAGGCCACUUCUGUUCCAUUCUGCAUUAACUAGGAUUCUGUCAAUUCUACUAUGCACAUUGUUAUUUGUCCACGUGUAAUAUCUCCCAAUCGUUCUAACUUCAGUCAAACCAACAUCCCCUACAAUUUUUUUUAAAAAAAAUCUCUCACUUCCGCUUCUUGUACUGGAUUCUCUUGUAUUCUAUCUUUAAUGGACAUGAUACUGUUAAAGUCCCCAAUUAAAACACUUGGCCAAUUUACUCCAUUAAUAGUUCCUUUGAGAUCCCUGCUAUAUAUUGAUCAUGUACUUAUUUCACUUCAAGAUCCACCCCUGUUUGGUCCCAAACAACCCAAAUUCUUCCACCUGGUGCUGCUUCAUAGUUGGCUACCCGCUUCUAGUCACCAAACACUUUCCUAUUUCUAGAACUGCCAUUACUGCUACACUAUUCUCCUUGCAGAAAAUUUUUAGUAGUUUUUGUUUAUACACCUUAUUCAUGCCCCUCACAUUCCAUAUUAUAAUAUUCAUCAUGAUAUAUAUGUUAUUUUUGGAUUGUCUUCAUUUCCUUAUCUACUCGUCCUACUUCUUAUCUCCUGUUCUUACGAGAAUUGCAUUAUCUUCUGGGCAAUGUCAACUAGGACUUUAAAUGCAUUGCCUACAUCAACUUCAUCUCCCCCUUUAGAUCCCACUUAUUUUUUUGAUACAGACCUCCCUCUAGCAAUCUGCCAUUGGUUGUCAUUCUCUUGCUGAUUUGGAACUAAUUCACUUUCUGUUUAAAUUUGCUCCAUGAAUCUUUCAUGGCCAUCUAUCUUAUCCAUCUUUGGACCAAUCUUCCUUACUAUUCUCCAUUCCUGUUUUGGUUUCUGAUUAUUGGUCUUCUACUGCCCAUUUUCUCUAUGUUGAUGUUGUUGUUCAUUACAUGAGUGGCCAAGUUGACAACACACUUGGCAAUAUUGUGGUUUCCAGUCAUACUGCACAAUCUGUUCAAUCAUUUUCCCAGUUGGAUCAUAGAGCUUUAUUGAUCCUGAUAGAGGCAUUGUAUUGUCUAUCCCAAUUAGUAUUCUUGCAUAAGAGACUCUGUCAGCCAUAGUGGUACAUGCAUCAUCAUAUAAAGGUUUACUCAGCCCACUCCUAAUCUUACUUAGAGCCUUAUUACUCCGGUAAAUAAAUGGUAGUUUAGGGAACUUAACCCAUAACAGUAUAGUUAUGAGAAUCUCAUCUCCAAAAUCAAACCCCUCCUUCCAUGGUCAUAGGAUAAUUGGUCAAUUAUUCAAUGCGUAAGGGCCAUUCGUUAUAACAUCAUCCCUUUCUUCAUUAUUGUUCAUCAAAAUUGUAAAAUAAUCGUCACUGUGAAACAAUACCUUUGGCUUCUUGAUUUUUCUCUAUUGUUGAGCUAUAAAACACUUAGUUGCUCCAAUUGUUGGGAUGUUUCCUACUACAUAUAGAAUUAAGGCUCUAUUCCAUUUCUGUUAUUUCUCAGCUAUGUCAUCUUCCAGCAAUUGCACCACUAUUUCACCAUCUUGUAUCAUUGGUGAGAUAUAUGAUAGAUUCAUUCCUUUAGCCGCAAGUUUAUUCUCACUAAAUAAUCCAACCCAUGAUCUUUCCCCAGCUCCAUGCGUUUGCUUCUCCUGCAGGCUGUUCUCAUUUCCUUGUGCUUUCUUACUCUGUUCCAUGGCUUCCUUUGGAGUUACUGUUCCAUUGCUUGGAGUUUUACUCAUACUAUCAUCUUCAGCUCUAAUCUUCCCUGCAUGUGUAUUUUUUGUUCCAGAACUCAUCAUUGGUGUCACACUGGUUACUGUCUUCGCCAACGUUGCUAAUUUCAAUUGAGGACCAGAUCUGGCCAAUUCAGUUCACUGUCACUUUCUAGAUCUAGAUCGUCUUUCUCAUUCGCUUUCUCUUUGGCUUUUGCUGAUUGCUUUCCUUGUUCCUUAAUACCGACAUUAGUGAAUUUGCUAGUAUUAUUCCUAGGUCGCCCCCUUCCUCCCAUUUUCCGAUGAGGCGCAUGUUAGAAGCACUUAACGUGCACCGAGAGAGAAUAGAAAAACAACAACCCAGUAUAAUCCCACUUAGUGGAGUCUAGGGAGGGUAGUGUGUACGCAGAUCUUACCAUACCCUUGGGUAGAGAAGCUGUUUCCAAAUAGACCCCCGUCAUCCUUCCCUCCAAGAACUUCCCACCUUGCUCUUGGGGAGACUCGAACUCACAACCU
rnacentral:lncRNA from 1 species